ensembl:lncRNA
AAAAAAAACCCUGAAAAAACGUCUAACUGCACAACCACAGACCACACCCUCUAAAGUUUCUGGAACAAGAUUCAAACUGAUUUUAUAUUUCAGGAAAAGACACUAAUAAGUUGUACAUGAUACUCCUGAAGUAGGUGCACAAAAGUUGUCAUGGAAAUCUUACCAUUCGAGGAGGUGGAGCGUGUUGCUGGAGCCAAAGUACAGCUGCAGCAAGGUGGUGUCACUGGUAUUCAACAGCAUGGCUAUUGCAACAUCAUCUCUACACCACUACAAGGUUUCUCAGAAGACUCCAGUGAUGAGGAUGACCACAUGGCACCACUGGCAUCUAAAAGUGAGGAAGGCUCUGUGUGCUGCGUUUGUGGUGAAAACAUCCCCUUACUGAAUAAACUGAUAGAGCACUUCAAGACGCACACAGCUGAGGUGUCUUGCCACCUGUGUUGGACAAAGUUUGGAAGUGUUAUGUCACUGGCAUUACACUUAAAAAAUUCCCAUCCAAGGAAAAGUUUCAUGUGUGGAAUCUGCAGAACUCUCUUUAGGUGCACGUGGCAUCUGAAUGGACAUAUGGAAAAGCAUCGGAAAGACGCAAUGGAGGUAAAACCUAUGGUUAAAAUGGAACAGACAGAAGAAAUCAGCAUCAAAGAGAGCAUAAGAUACACUGAUAUGAGAAAAAUAACCUUGAGGGAUCAUUCAUAUUGUGUCUCAGAUCACGCAGUUAUAAAUGACACUUACAAUGCCAUCCAGAAACGCAUCGACAAUGAUACAAACUCCACAAAUCAAGUGUCACACAUCAAAACACAAAUCGAAAGACUGCCUAUUAUUGAUAAACAAAAUGACACCUUGAGCUUUUCCUCAUGCCCUUCGAAUCAAUCAGAGCAAGAGCAUCUAAGCUUUAAGCUGAAGGAAGAGAAUGAGGAUGAGGAUGGGCUCGGAGAAACUGCAGCUUGUGAGGUGGUUACAGAAGAGGAAAUUGGACUGAUGGAGGAUGACGAAAGUACCGACACUGAUGAUGAUGUCAACGCCAUCCCCCCUAAUAUUAGGGAUGUAACGGGCUAUUACAACAUCAUCUCUACACCACUACAAGGUUUCUCAGAAGACUCCAGUGAUGAGGAUGACCACAUGGCACCACUGGCAUCUAAAAGUGAGGAAGGCUCUGUGUGCUGCGUUUGUGGAGAAAACAUCCCCUUACUGAAUAAACUGAUAGAGCACUUCAAGACGCACACAGCUGAGGUGUCUUGCCACCUGUGUUGGACAAAGUUUAGAAGUGUUAUGUUGCUGGCGUUACACUUAAAAAAUGCCCAUCCAAGGAAAAGUUUCAUGUGUGGAAUCUGCAGAACUCUCUUUAGGUGCACGUGGAAUCUGAAUGGACAUAUGGAAAAGCAUCGGAAAGACGCAAUGGAGGUAAAACCUAUGGUUAAAAUGGAACAGACAAAAGAAAUCAGCAUCAAAGAGAGCAUAAGAUACACUGAUAUGAGAAAAAUAACCUUGAGGGAUCAUUCAUAUUGUGUCUCAGAUCACGCAGUUAUAAAUGACACUUGCAAUGCCAUCCAGAAACGCAUCGACAAUGAUACAAACUCCACAAAUCAAGUGUCACACAUCAAAACACAAAUCGAAAGAUUGCCUAUUAUUGAUAAACAAAAUGACACCUUGAGCUUUUCCUCAUGCCCUUCGAAUCAAUCAGAGCAAGAGCAUCUAAGCUUUAAGCUGAAGGAAGAGAAUGAGGAUGAGGAUGGGCUCGGAGAAACUGCACCUUGUGAGGUGGCUGCAGAGGAGGAAAUUGGACUGAUGGAGGAUGACGAAAGUACCGACACUGAUGACGAUGUCAACACUGACUCACUACCCCCUGGUGACACGGCGUACAACCCCGAUGAGGACUUCAGCUCAGAACCUGAUGACAGUGACUCAAGAAGUAGCAUCUACGGUCGUCACCGAAAGAAAAAGAGACAAAAGAAACAGACUCCCGACAGUAAAAGACCUGCAAAUAGGAAUCUAGAGUCAGUUGACACAGCAGAGAAAUCUGGGUUUCAGUCCGAUUCUCCCUUUUGCAGCUAUGGCAAAUUUGCUCAUUUGGAGAAGGACAUGGAUGAUUGCAGGAACAAACUGAGGCUUGCUUGUUGUCUGUGCAACAUGGUAUGUAAGAAUGAAGAGUUGCUGCUGAAGCACACGACUGAAAAACACUCCGCAGCUGGGUAUAUCUGUGCAUACUGCCACAGUGUUUUUCCUAGACUGGACCGUUUCAAAAAUCAUGUCUGUUUGAGAAGACCAACAGUCGGAAUGAACUUGCCGGCCACCCUCGUAACCCAAUUACCUGUCGUGCCUUUAUCCGGUCAAGUAAGACCUUCUGCUCCUGCUUUAUACACCAAUCAAAACUCCAUUAAAUUGAUCAAAAUAGCUCAGACAGUGAAUAAAAUUUCCCUAGCCCCUGAUCCUCCACAUUUGACGCUGCAGCAAUUGCUUAAGACAACUCCUUUGGUUCCUGCUAAGACGACAGAUUUAGUUCCACAAUUUGUGGCUGUGCCGCAAACUCUUAUCAGGCCCCAUUUCCCUCAAAGUUCUUGUGUCGCUCGUCCAAAAGUUCCUAUCCUUAUACCUUCAGUAGUGCAUCCCUUGAUGCCAAAUCUGGCCAGGAUGACUCUUCGUAUCCCUUCCCCUUCCAAUCCACCUUUUCCAAGUCAAGUCGUUGUAUCCUUCUCACCCACAGUGAACGUCUCAGCACCCUGUCUAGUUUCAGCCAACAGGCCUGUUCUGAGACAAACACCUCUGGCUAAUAUUAGGCCCCUACCUGUAAACGUCCCGCUGAUGACCUCAGUCACUUGUCCCACCCUGGUCCGUGCUCUUACUGCACACAACCAGCCACAGAUCCCUCCUGCCAAGGUUCAGGCUCCAUUAAAUAGAGUGGCCAUGUUUGUGAACCAAAGCAGGGAUUUGGCUCUGCAGAAGGGACUCGAGCAGAGCUGGCGCUCCAAGACCAUCUUCCCCUGCCGCCACUGUGGUGCCGUCUCAAGACAACCGUCUCUGAAGGUGCGUCACCGCUACUUACACCGUGGGUCAAGGUUGUACAGAUGUCAGUGCGGAAGAUCGUUCCAAAGGCAGCUGCAUUUGCUGAGACACCAGGUCCAGCAUGCGGAGUCAGUCCGAUUUGUUUGUGCGCAGUGCGGAAAUACAUUCGAAGGGGCCCAUAAAUUGACCUGGCACAAACGAAAGCAUAGAAAUGGCAAACAGUGUGUGAAGAAGAAAUGCAAGGCGGCUUUUGACUGUAGCUGUGGACAGAUGUUUAAAAGGCCAUCUGCACUGUUGUGGCAUAUGCUUAAAAACUCGAAACUUUCAAAACCCACUCAAAAAAACUCACAAUCUGUCUCUGUUUGA